UAAGCUGAAUAAAUCCUUUC
rnacentral:piRNA from 1 species